AGUGAACGCUGGCGGUAGGCCUAACACAUGCAAGUCGAACGGCAGCACAGUAAGAGCUUGCUCUUACGGGUGGCGAGUGGCGGACGGGUGAGGAAUACAUCGGAAUCUACUUUUUCGUGGGGGAUAACGUAGGGAAACUUACGCUAAUACCGCAUACGACCUACGGGUGAAAGCAGGGGAUCUUCGGACCUUGCGCGAUUGAAUGAGCCGAUGUCGGAUUAGCUAGUUGGCGGGGUAAAGGCCCACCAAGGCGACGAUCCGUAGCUGGUCUGAGAGGAUGAUCAGCCACACUGGAACUGAGACACGGUCCAGACUCUGACGGGGGGCAGCAGUGGGGAAUAUUGGACAAUGGGCGCAAGCCUGAUCCAGCCAUACCGCGUGGGUGAAGAAGGCCUUCGGGUUGUAAAGCCCUUUUGUUGGGAAAGAAAAGCAGCAGGUUAAUACCCCGCUGUUCUGACGGUACCCAAAGAAUAAGCACCGGCUAACUUCGUG
rnacentral:rRNA from 1 species